CAGAAGUCUGACGGAGCACGCCGCGUGAGUGAUGAAGGCUUUCGGGUCGUAAAACUCUGUUGUUAGGGAAGAACAAGUGCUAGUUGAAUAAGCUGGCACCUUGACGGUACCUAACCAGAAAGCCACGGCUAACUACGUGCCAGCAGCCGCGGUAAUACGUAGGUGGCAAGCGUUAUCCGGAAUUAUUGGGCGUAAAGCGCGCGCAGGUGGUUUCUUAAGUCUGAUGUGAAAGCCCACGGCUCAACCGUGGAGGGUCAUUGGAAACUGGGAGACUUGAGUGCAGAAGAGGAAAGUGGAAUUCCAUGUGUAGCGGUGAAAUGCGUAGAGAUAUGGAGGAACACCAGUGGCGAAGGCGACUUUCUGGUCUGUAACUGACACUGAGGCGCGAAAGCGUGGGGAGCAAACAGGAUUAGAUACCCUGGUAGUCCCCGCUGUUAUCCAUCAGCGCCCACUGCUUCAUGGUUUU
rnacentral:rRNA from 1 species